rnacentral:rRNA from 1 species
UACGUAGGGUGCGAGCGUUAAUCGGAAUUACUGGGCGUAAAGCGUGCGUAGGCGGUUCCUCAAGUCCGUUGUGAAAUCCCCGGGCUCAACCUGGGAACUGCGGUUGUGACUGCAAGACUGGAGUGUGGCAGAGGGGGGUGGAAUUCCACGUGUAGCAGUGAAAUGCGUAGAGAUGUGGAGGAACACCGAUGGCGAAGGCAGCCCCCUGGGUCAACACUGACGCUCAUGCACGAAAGCGUGGGGAGCAAACAGG